rnacentral:rRNA from 1 species
GGCUACCAUGCAGUCGAGGGGCAGCAUUUCAGUUUGCUUGCAAACUGGAGAUGGCGACCGGCGCACGGGUGAGUAACACGUAUCCAACCUGCCGAUAACUCGGGGAUAGCCUUUCGAAAGAAAGAUUAAUACCCGAUGGUAUAAUCAGACCGCAUGGUCUUGUUAUUAAAGAAUUUCGGUUAUCGAUGGGGAUGCGUUCCAUUAGGCAGUUGGUGAGGUAACGGCUCACCAAACCUUCGAUGGAUAGGGGUUCUGAGAGGAAGGUCCCCCACAUUGGAACUGAGACACGGUCCAAACUCCUACGGGAGGCAGCAGUGAGGAAUAUUGGUCAAUGGGCGCAGGCCUGAACCAGCCAAGUAGCGUGAAGGAUGACUGCCCUAUGGGUUGUAAACUUCUUUUAUAUGGGAAUAAAGUUUUCCACGUGUGGAAUUUUGUAUGUACCAUAUGAAUAAGGAUCGGCUAACUCCGUGCCAGCAGCCGCGGUAAUACGGAGGAUCCGAGCGUUAUCCGGAUUUAUUGGGUUUAAAGGGAGCGUAGGUGGACAGUUAAGUCAGUUGUGAAAGUUUGCGGCUCAACCGUAAAAUUGCAGUUGAUACUGGCUGUCUUGAGUACAGUAGAGGUGGGCGGAAUUCGUGGUGUAGCGGUGAAAUGCUUAGAUAUCACGAAGAACUCCGAUUGCGAAGGCAGCUCACUGGACUGCAACUGACACUGAUGCUCGAAAGUGUGGGUAUCAAACAGGAUUAGAUACCCUGGUAGUCCACACAGUAAACGAUGAAUACUCGCUGUUUGCGAUAUACAGUAAGCGGCCAAGCGAAAGCAUUAAGUAUUCCACCUGGGGAGUACGCCGGCAACGGUGAAACUCAAAGGAAUUGACGGGGGCCCGCACAAGCGGAGGAACAUGUGGUUUAAUUCGAUGAUACGCGAGGAACCUUACCCGGGCUUAAAUUGCAUUUGAAUAUAUUGGAAACAGUAUAGCCGUAAGGCAAAUGUGAAGGUGCUGCAUGGUUGUCGUCAGCUCGUGCCGUGAGGUGUCGGCUUAAGUGCCAUAACGAGCGCAACCCUUAUCUUUAGUUACUAACAGGUCAUGCUGAGGACUCUAGAGAGACUGCCGUCGUAAGAUGUGAGGAAGGUGGGGAUGACGUCAAAUCAGCACGGCCCUUACGUCCGGGGCUACACACGUGUUACAAUGGGGGGUACAGAAGGCAGCUACCUGGUGACAGGAUGCUAAUCCCAAAAGCCUCUCUCAGUUCGGAUCGAAGUCUGCAACCCGACUUCGUGAAGCUGGAUUCGCUAGUAAUCGCGCAUCAGCCAUGGCGCGGUGAAUACGUUCCCGGGCCUUGUACACACCGCCCGUCAAGCCAUGAAAGCCGGGGGUACCUGAAGUACGUAACCGCAAGGAGCUCCUAGG